UGGAGUUUAGACGUGUACUCUUCUGGGAUUUUAUCUGCUUAUUUUGGUUGCAGUUCCCAAUUUUUAAAAAUGUUUAGGUAAUCUUCUCCACCUUUCCCAAAUCCUAAUUCUUAUAGAUUCUGUUGAGCCAAUGCUUUCACAUGUCUCAAUUCUUUGUAUAUGCAUUCUUUUCAGAUGUAUUAAACUAACAAAAACCC